GAUGAACGCUGGCGGCGUGCCUAAUACAUGCAAGUCGAGCGAACAGACGAGGAGCUUGCUCCUCUGACGUUAGCGGCGGACGGGUGAGUAACACGUGGAUAACCUACCUAUAAGACUGGGAUAACUUCGGGAAACCGGAGCUAAUACCGGAUAAUAUAUUGAACCGCAUGGUUCAAUAGUGAAAGACGGUUUUGCUGUCACUUAUAGAGGGAUCCGCGCCGCAUUAGCUAGUUGGUAAGGUAACGGCUUACCAAGGCGACGAUGCGUAGCCGACCUGUGAGGGUGAUCGGCCACCCUGGAACUGGGCCACGGUCCAGACUCCUACGGGAGGCAGCAGUAGGGAAUCUUCCGCAAUGGGCGAAAGCCUGACGGAGCAACGCCGCGUGAGUGAUGACGGUCUUCGGAUCGUAAAACUCUGUUAUUAGGGAAGAACAAAUGUGUAAGUAACUAUGCACGUCUUGACGGUACCUAAUCAGAAAGCCACGGCUAACUACGUG
rnacentral:rRNA from 1 species